AAAAUAACAGUCUUCACUUUUAAUGACGCCAAAGACACGACAACAUCUUCAAUCCCAGUGGUAGGCACUCCAUUUUUUUUGUUUUCUGUUUUAAGCCUUUCCCAAACCUUAACCACUCGGAAUUAAUACCUAAACUGAAGUUUAACCCUAACCUUAACCAUUCGGAAUGAAUGCCUAAACGUACGUUUUAGUUGAACCUUUGUAGAGUUUUUGACUGACAGCUAAGAUACGACGCAACAUGGCGUAAUUAAAACGUCAAGCCAUUGCGUAAUUCUGUUACUGCAGUUACGCAACUGUUUGAUGUUUUAUUUGGAGAUUGGGAUUUUUUUUUUUAACAGUGUGCAUAACUGCAUUUUUUAUUUGAGAGCAGUAUGAUAUCGGCAUGCCAGACUUUGUCAGUGGAAUGUAGAAGUGAGAAAUGACCCUUGUGUUCAACACCUCCCCUGCUCAGAGGCAACACCAUCACUUGGUUUCCUGACUCUCACACCUCAUCACUACUUCAUCUGACAACUAGGUUAAUCAAUACGCUUCUGGCUUUAAAGAUCACUUAUCUCUUUUUUUUUUACGAGGUCAUCUAAACACAGUUCAAGUUUUUAAAAUAACUGGAGUUGGAAGACUGUUGUUUGAAGGGACAUGGAGGCUGUGUUUGUACUAGUGUUGGUGAUGUUAGCAGCAGUGUCCCAUGCAACAGACGUGACCACCUGUACUGCUACUCAGAACUCAUCCCAGUGUUCUGUGUCUCUGUGUGGAACUCUGGAUCUCCAGCUGAUGACCAAUGCAAGUGGAUGUGAACUGCUGUUUAAAAAGAACCUCACUGACGGUCCGACACUGAUAUUCUCACUGAAAAGAAACAAGGUGACCUUCAAGAGACCCACUGAAGACAGAUUACAGUUCUUUAUGAACAACGGGACCUUUAGGUUAACCAACGUGGAGAGGGCUGAUUCUGGGAAAUACUUCUUGGAGAUCUACGAUUCCGGAGGGGAACAUUUGGGAACCAGACGAGUACAACUGGACAUUGAAGGGCUAUGUCCACCCAUGGUGCUCAUUUUAGGGUCAGUGUCAGCUGGUGGUGUCAUCCUAGCAGUGAUGCUGGUAGGCUGCUGUAUUGGGAGGAGAAGGAGAAUAUUCAACACCACAGGUUAGAACAAAGCAGGCGCCCCACCCAUAAUGUUACCAUAGGUUUAUCAAUGAGGGCUACAGCACAGGGCAGGUGUGUGUGUCACCAAUACCUAAGAUUAAACUGUCAUUAAAUCACUGAUUUCACUCUCAUCUCACAUUGUUAGGUGCAGAACUCAAAGGACUUCAGCCUUCAGAAUGAGGAAGGAGGCGAUCAAACCUGUGGAAACCUAUAACGGAGAGGAGAUAGAGGUUGUGGAGGCUGCUCAGGGGAGGACGGCUCAUAGUAAUGGCUGGAAUGGAGUUAAUGGAAUGGUAUCAAACGUGGUUUCCAUGUGGUUAAUAUAAUUCCAUUGACUCCAUUCCAGCCAUUAAUAUGAGCCGUCCUUCCCUCAGCAACCUCCACUGUUGUGGAGGCAUUAGUGGACCUAUAGUAGCAGACAGAGGUUAUUGAUAAGAAACUUGAAUGGAAAGAACAUAUUGAUUGAUUUAUUGUGCUCCAACCAGAGACCACAUUACAUACAGGCAGUUAACCCACUGUUCCUAGGCCGUCAUUGAAAAUAAGAAUUUGUUCUUAACUGACUUGCCUAGUUAAAUAAAGGUAAAAUAAAUAAAUAAAUAAAUAAAAUACAUGAAUACAUUAUCGAGGAUAAAAACACAAAGCCCGGAGUCUUAUUUCCAUUGGGGUCUUCUUUUGGCAGUGAGAUGGCAGACACUUUUCAUGCACUCAAUGCAAUGAAAAUGAAGAACAGUAGCCAUUUCCAACCAUUUCCAACCAUUUCCAUUUAAAACAAUUUAGAACAAUAUCAACAGCACAGAGGUCCCGUUUGAGUCACCUCGUCAAAGAAUACCCUUAAUCAAAUGGACAUGUUAUUUCUCAGGUAUGUUUUUAGUGACACCUUAAAGCAAUUCUAUGAUGACAGAGUAUUCAGGUAGCUUGGUAAAACUGUUCCAUAGAACUGCAGCAGAAUACAGGAAAUAGUUUUCCACCAUGGAGCUCUUGAAUCUACAGGGAACAAAGUUUCCUCUGGUGGAAUACUGAUUGGUGUCAUUUAUACGGCUAAAAUAAUGUUGUUGUCAAACCCCAAUUUAAACUGGGUGACUUUAGUUUCCACCUUGAGCCGUUUCAGUUCAUCAAAGUGAGAUGGUUCAAGAUGAAUAUUAGGUGGACGUUUCAGAAUAAUCUUGGCUCUUAUUCUGAGAGGUCAUAGGAUUGUUCUUUAUACCUUUAGGGGAACCGCUGUACCAAGAGGCACAACAAUAAUCAAAAUGACACUGCAUACCAGUACCUAUUUCCUUUGUUCUUUCAUUGUAUGCAUCCAUUGACUUCUAAUAAGUAUUUCUUAUGGCAUUGGCUGGUUUCUAUCAGUUUUAUCAGUUAUUUUGCCAGCUAUGAAUUGGCAGUGGCGUUAAAUUACAUGAAUUACAUUCCCUCCAUAAAUGGAAACUAAUUGUAUUUUAAUACUUUUUUUUUCAUGAGAAAUAAACAAUGAAUCUGUAUCACUUUUUCCAAAUGAAGAAGAUAUUAAACCUCACACUUUUUGUAUGGGUUCCUCUUUUCAGAGAAGAAGUGAUAUUUAAUGUCAAACGUACUGUAUAUUAGUAAUUAUAUUAGUUCAUUUUACUCAAAAAGAAACAACCGGUACCGUUCAGACAGUUCUCUAAACUACAGACUGGAACAACUCUUAGAUGCUCAGACUGUACGCAGCCAGAUAGAGUGCCUUCGGAAAGUAUUCAGACCACUUGACAUUCUUACGUUACAGCCUCAUUCUAAAACGUAUUAAAACUGUUUUUUUCCCCUCAUCAAUCUAUACACAAUAUCCCAC
ensembl:lncRNA